GGUAGAUGUUUGGGUCUUUAUGGGUUAAAAACACAUUACUUUACAGGUUUUGAUAAAACACCUUGUUUCAGUGUUUGAAUCAGUUGUCUUUAAAUGAUGGUUUGAGUGAAAUGGAUGGUUUUAUCACUAGUCUGUCAUUUAGCAACAUUCGUGCGGGGGUUCAAAAAUUCUGCCUCUGUAA